UAACAUCCACAGGCUGGCGGCCCCCAGGCUGGGCUGGGCGAGUAUCUCUUCGAAAGGCUCACCCUCAAGCAUGACCAGAAGC
rnacentral:pre_miRNA from 1 species